CGGACGGGUGAGUAACACGUGGAUAACCUACCUAUAAGACUGGGAUAACUUCGGGAAACCGGAGCUAAUGCCGGAUAAUAUAUUGAACCGCAUGGUUCAAUAGUGAAAGACGGUUUUGCUGUCACUUAUAGAUGGAUCCGCGCCGCAUUAGCUAGUUGGUAAGGUAACGGCUUACCAAGGCGACGAUGCGUAGCCGACCUGAGAGGGUGAUCGGCCACACUGGAACUGAGACACGGUCCAG
rnacentral:rRNA from 1 species